AACCCUCCAUAUCAGCAGGCCAAUCUGUGCUAGACAAACCAUGAAAAAACGACAAAAAUCGAGAAUCACUGGGUCGAUAGCUGGUUUAAACCCAAGAGUAAAAGGGUAUGUGUAAACGAAAGAGAGCCCAGUCAUAUAUGAAGUAAUCCUUUGAUUUGGAUUGGGGAUUACAAUGGGAAAAUCGUCACUCCAGUGGCAAUCUUUGCGAACUAUGGGAGCUAAAAGUUUUGUAAUCAAAGUAGGAAAGCAUCAUCGUGAUCUAGAC
rnacentral:lncRNA from 1 species